rnacentral:rRNA from 1 species
UACGUAGGGUGCAAGCGUUGUCCGGAAUUAUUGGGCGUAAAGAGCUCGUAGGCGGUCUGUCGCGUCUGGUGUGAAAAUCCAGGGCUUAACCCUGGACCUGCAUCGGGUACGGGCAGACUAGAGUGCGGUAGGGGAGAUCGGAAUUCCUGGUGUAGCGGUGAAAUGCGCAGAUAUCAGGAAGAACACCCGUGGCGAAGGCGGCUCUCUGGGACGGUACUGACGCUGAGACGCGAAAGCGUGGGGAGCGAACAGG